AUGAACUUACGGUGUAGCACUCCACCGCAGUCGGAGAAACGCAGAUCUCAGGGUAGCGCCACCCAGACGUUGAGAACGCAGCUACAACGACCACCCAGGUGCUUAGCACGGACUCCGCCGCCGGACACACGCUCCCCUGUCGGAGGCGGGGCCAGGGCCCGGAAGGGGCGGGGCCCGGAGCCCCAAAAGCCCAACGGAAGAAGCUGUGCUUUCUUUUCCGCGCGGCUGUCGACGGAGGAGGCCUUGCGAAGCUUGGUCGGUCAUGCGGCCCGGGCGGCAGCGCCAGCGGACCAGUCGCUGGGUCCUUCGAGGUACAACAGAGCCUAUGAGUUGAAGAUGAACGUUGUGAUGUUUUCCAAAAACAUCUGAGGAUGGCUGUGAUAAAACUACUAGGAGCACAACUGCAUGUAAUGAGCAUGUAGGUAGCUGCAGAUGAAUGUCCAAGUCCAUAACUGUUGUGGUUAAAAAUUCUUCAUUGCCUCG
rnacentral:lncRNA from 1 species